rnacentral:tRNA from 1 species
AUGGCAAUGGUAGAGUGGUUUCAUAUGCAGGCCUGUGGAGCCUGAGAGGCGGGUUCGAUUCCCGCUUGCCAUCCCA